ACAGCAGCCGCCGCGGGAAUACGGAGGGUGCAAGCGUUAUCCGGAUUUAUUGGGUUUAAAGGGUCCGUAGGCGGAUCUGUAAGUCAGUGGUGAAAUCUCACAGCUUAACUGUGAAACUGCCAUUGAUACUGCAGGUCUUGAGUAAAUUUGAAGUGGCUGGAAUAAGUAGUGUAGCGGUGAAAUGCAUAGAUAUUACUUAGAACACCAAUUGCGAAGGCAGGUCACUAAGAUUUAACUGACGCUGAUGGACGAAAGCGUGGGGAGCGAACAGGAUUAGAUACCCCCGUAGUCCAUGUCUCUUAUAC
rnacentral:rRNA from 1 species